AUUGAACGCUGGCGGCAGGCCUAACACAUGCAAGUCGAGCGAGCGGCGGACGUGUGAGUCACGUAUGUGGACUUGCUCGAUAGCGGGGGAUAACUACUGGAAACGGUGGCUAAUCCCGCAUACUAUCGGAUGAACCCAUAUGGGAUUAGCUAGUAGGUGGGGUAAAGGCUCACCUAGGCCACGAUCUCUAGCUGGUCUGAGAGGAUGAUCGGCCACACUGGGACUGAGACACGGCCCAGACUCCUACGGGAGGCAGCAGUGGGGAAUAUUGCGCAAUGGGCGCAAGCCUGAUGCAGCCAUGCCGCGUGUAUGAAGAAGGCCUUAGGGUUGUAAAGUUCUUUCAGCGGGGAGGCGUUACCCGCAGAGGAAGCACCGGCUAACUCCGUGCCAGCAGCCGCGGUAAUAC
rnacentral:rRNA from 1 species